rnacentral:rRNA from 1 species
CGAACGUUAGCGGCGGGCUUAACACAUGCAAGUCGAACGAGAACGGAACCCUUCGGGGUUUUUAGUAAAGUGGCGCACGGGUGAGUAACACGUGGGUAAUCUACCCUCUGGCGGGGGACAACCACUGGAAACGGUGGCUAAUACCGCAUACGACCUGAGGCUCUUAGGGGCUUUAGGAGAAAGGCUUCGGCCACCAGAGGAUGAGCCCGCGUCCCAUCAGCUUGUUGGUGAGGUAAAAGCUUACCAAGGCUAAGACGGGUAGCUGGUCUGAGAGGAUGAUCAGCCACACUGGGACUGAGACACGGCCCAGACUCCUACGGGAGGCAGCAGUGGGGAAUAUUGGACAAUGGGCGAAAGCCUGAUCCAGCCACGCCGCGUGUGUGAUGAAGGCCUUCGGGUCGUAAAGCACUGUGGGGAAGGAAGAAGUUCUGACGGUACUUCCUUAGCAAGCACCGGCUAACUCC